GGCCUUAUGGUCUAGUAGCAUGAUUCUUCCUUUGGGCGCAGCUUAUUUGUUGCAUUUAAGCACGUUGAAUGGAAGAGGUCCCGAGUUCAAUUCUCGGUGAGGCCC